ensembl:lncRNA
CUACGGGGUAGGAGAAAGGGGGUAGGUCCUACGGGUAGGAAUGAGGAGGUAGGGGGUAGGGGCUAGGAGUAGGAGCUAGGGGUAGGGGAAAAGGCCUAGAGGGUAGGAGCUAGGGAGUAGGGGCUACAAGGUAGGGGCUACAAGGUAGGAGCUAGGGGGUAGGGGAAACAGGGUAGGUGGAACGGGAUAGAGGAUACAGGGGAAUGGGGUAGGGCAAAGGGGUAGGAGGUAUGUGGUACGAUCUAGAAGUAGGGGCUAGGCCUAGGGGGUAGGGACUAGGGGUAGCAGCUAGGAGGUAGGGGAUAGGGACUAGGGGUAAGAGAUAGGGGCUAUGGGUUAGCAAACACACACAACCUGUUCUACUGAUAUGUUGAACUAGCUGUCAAAAGCCACAUUUCAUAUUAUGAGCCAAAUCUACUGUAAAAGAGCGUAAUGGGAGUUUACUGGUAUUGUCAUAAACAUAUAGUUAAAAAGACCUCUCAUAAGAUUAACAACACUAAAAGAUAUGUAAAAUACAAUCAUGGGUGGGAGAGCUUACUGGUAUUGUUAUAAAGCAUAUUGUUCAUCUGUCUUUAUCCCUAAUCAAACAACCUCAUAUCACACAAUAGCCAAUGAAAUAGUCUGUAUAGUAAUAGAAGCAAUACUUAUGUCUUUUGAAAUCUGUGGCUUAUGGUAUGAAGGGAAAUACUGAUAGUAAAAACAAACAUUGCAUUCUAGUGAAGUAAUUUGAUAAGAACUGAUCACACUAAAAUGCAACCUGGUUUCAGAGCAUUUCGUAUUAUUGUGUAUGUAAAUCUGGGACAAUCCAUUUAGUAUGAUAUGUUAGGUUUUGUAUGUUAUGUAUUCAUUUGUGGAUGUCCAUCAUGCAUUUUGAAUGAUAUGUUACGAAUAACAAUUUGUAUAGGUUACAAAUCCGCAAAAUGUACAAUAUGUUAGGAAUUUGCUAACUGUACAAUAUGAAGCAAAUUUGCAAAAACGUAUGCUGUUACGAAUUCCAAUUUGAUGCGAUUAACAUUAGCUGGGUGGCUAACACUAACUUUAGCUAGCUGGCUAACAAUAGCUCGGUUAGGGUUAAGGUAAGGAAUUUGUAUAAAAGGUUAAGGUUAGGGUUAGUUAAAUGGGUUACGUUUAGGGUUAGGGUUAGCUAACAUGCUAAGUAGUUGCAAAGUAGCAAGUAGUUAAAAAAUGGCUAAUUAGCUAAAAUGCUAAAUGAGAUUUGAACACGCAACCUUUGGGUUGUUAGAUGUUCGUGUUAUAUAGCCAAGCCAUCCACCCCGACCAACCACCCUCCUUUCGUUUUUGCCUUGAGUAACAUUCUGUCUCAUGAAACCAUACCAAAUGUAACAUGUCACACUAAUUUGAGUGUCCAGGAUUUAGAUUUACUAUGUUAUGUCCAGUGGUGACCCGUAUUUCAGGGAAGGUGAGGCCCCAAAACAUUUUUGGGGGGGGGGCUUUUCUGUUUUGCAUGUUAUUUUGGCAUAAAUACGCGUCACAUAUCAGUUUGCAAACAAUGUAAAAGAAUAUAUAUCAUUGAGAUAAUAAAGCCGCAUAGAAACGUG